AAAGAAUAAGAAAAGAAAAGAAAAGAAAAGAAGGAAACCUACGUUAUAUCGGUUCUUCCAUCUUCAUUCUCACUAUCAAACACUCACAAUCUUCAUCACACAAGAACACUACCAUCUUCAACCUCUCUAUCUUUCCGGCGCCUCAACUACAACACAAACUUUCUUCACCAUUAAUCUUCCAUAGUAGUGGAUUCCGAUUUCAUUGAGGAGCGUAUUGACUGCUUGACAUAGUUGAUUUGCUGUAUUUUAAAAGGUACAUGAAGAUUUGCAAGUGGGGUGUGGGCUGAGAGCAACGUUCCACUAACUUAGUUGAAAUAUAGUAGUUCUAUUUUCCGCUGCACUAUAUAUAUAUAUAUAUAUAUAUAUAUAUAUAUAUAUAUAUACAUCAUCAUCAUCAUCAUCAUUUUGGAACUUAAGGUUGUAAAUAUUAAUUUACUUAAACCUUUACACGUUGGGAUUGUAAUAGUUUAAUUUAGUUGUUGCUUUAACAUUAAUUCAGUUAGGUAGUUAUCCUUAACGGUUGUUCCUGCAAUAACCGUGGAAUAACACUUUUGGAUUUUGGGUACUUAUGCAUGGAUGUAUUGAUUUUUGAGCUGGAUAAGGAUCUUGUAGAACUUGGUUUGCUGGAUUAUUGAUACAGGUUUAUAAUCUGGACGCGAUUCCUAAAUUGAAUUUUAGGCAGUCCAUAUUUCAGACGGAGCUCUGCCGAAUUUUCUGUAGAAUUUUGAUAUUAUUUAAUUUAAUUAGCAACUCGAAAUUCAGGGGUGUUAUAAAUGUCAUUUGUUCUUCCCUUUCUUACUCUAUUACAUUAAGCUAUUAUUGAUCAUUGUAAUUUUGGUUUUGGGAUAAGGGGACUUUGAGUGAAGUUCUGUAAGAGAUAAGCUUUGAGUGAAGCGAGUUAAAGUGAGAAAACUUCAAGUGAAGUUGAGAGAAACAACUGUUAAGGGAACGAUAAUUGUUCAGGAACUUGAGUUUAGGAACUCAAGGUGUGCCUCGUAAGUAACAUUAGCUUGUAACAAAGUUGUUUGGCCCAAUUAGUGAAAGAGUUGAGUUUAAAAUCUCUAGUGGCCGAGGUUGUUUCUUCUUGUUCGGUCAAGAAGUUUUUCCUUGUAAAAUCCUUUGUGUUCUUUUAA